CUACAGCUGAAGGGGUCCAUGUCACUGCUGCAGCCACACUGUGACAGAGGCUGCAUCCGUGACUCCCUUAGGCCAAGCUCCUCUCAGCUCUUUCAUUUUAGCAGCUCCUCUGAGGCUUUGCAAUGUGAUUUGUUUAAUCUUAAAUAUAAAGGGAUCGAGCACAGAAGCGGAGGGCUGUUUGCCAUCCAUCCCUUAGGCAGAGGCAGGUGACAGGACAGGGAGAGGGGCAGGGAGGCCAACUGGGGAGACGCAGCAGGCCGUGGGCAGGCCUGUCUGAAAGAAGGUCAGAAUGGAAUCUACUCCAGGCAUGGCAAAGGCUUACUCAUGACCCAGAGGAAACUGCACCUGGGGCUUGGUUUUUCCAAAGGAAGAACUUUUUGUCAAGUAAAAGGAUUUUAAAGGAGACUAAGAGGGCCAGGCAUGAUGGCUCACGCCUGUAAUCCCAGUGCUUUGGGAGGCU
rnacentral:lncRNA from 1 species